CUGCAUUCAUCUUGCCAUCAAUUUUCACAAGAUUCCCUGUGUCUUUCGAGCUCUCACGGUCCCAACACAUCAGUCAGUCAUCACUCUGCUUCACAGUGGGGAUGGUAUUCUUUUCACUAUAGGCCUUGUUAAGCCCUCUCAAAACAUAGCACUCCUGUGGUUGAGACCAUAAAGCUCUAUUUUGGACUCGUCACUCCAAAUUACAAUGUGCCAGAAGCUGUGAGGUGUGUCAAGGUGUUGUCUAGGUGUAUUCUAACCAGGCUUUUUGGUGGCAUUGGCGCAGUAAAGGCUUCUUUCUGGCAACUCGACCAUGCAGCUCAUUUUUGUUCAAGUAUCAUCGUAUUGUGCUCCUUGAAACAACCACACGGUCUCUCUCCAGAGCAGCCUGUAUUUAUCCUUAGGUUACCUGUGGAUUUUCUUUGUAUGCCGAACUAUUUUUCCAGCAGUUGUGGCUGAAAUCUUUCUUGGUCUACCUGACCUUAGCUUGGUAUCAAGAGAUCCCUGAAUUUUCCACUUCUUAAUAAGUGAUUGAACAGUACUGAGUGCCAUUUUCAAGGCUUUGGAUAUCUUUUUAUAUCCUUUUCCAUCUUUAGUUCCAUUACCUUGUUACACAGGUCUUUUGGCAGUUCUUUUCUGCUUCCCAUGGCUCAGUAUCUAGCCUGCUCAGUGCAUCCACGUGAGAACUAACAAACUCACUGGCUAUUUAUACACAGACACUAAUUGCACUCUAAAAAGCCACAGGUGUGGGAAAUUAACAUUUAAUUGUCAUUUUAACCUGUGU